rnacentral:rRNA from 1 species
AGUGAACGCUGGCGGUAGGCCUAACACAUGCAAGUCGAACGGCAGCACAGUAAGUGCUUGCUCUUACGGGUGGCGAGUGGCGGACGGGUGAGGAAUACAUCGGAAUCUACUUUUUCGUGGGGGAUAACGUAGGGAAACUUACGCUAAUACCGCAUACGACCUACGGGUGAAAGCAGUGGAUCUUCGGACCUUGCGCGAUUGAAUGAGCCGAUGUCGGAUGAGCUAGUUGGCGGGGUAAAGGCCCACCAAGGCGACGAUCCGUAGCUGGUCUGAGAGGAUGAUCAGCCACACUGGAACUGAGACACGGUCCAGACGCCUACGGGAGGGAGCAGUGGGGAAUAUUGGACAAUGGGCGCAAGCCUGAUCCAGCCAUACCGCGUGGGUGAAGAAGGCCUUCGGGUUGGAAAGCCCUGUUGUUGGGAAAGAAAAGCAGCAGGUUAAGACCCCGCUGUUCUGACGGUAACCAAAGAAGAAGCACCGGCUAACUUCGUG